rnacentral:rRNA from 1 species
AGCGAACGCUGGCGGCAGGCCUAACACAUGCAAGUCGAACGAACCUUUCGGGGUUAGUGGCGGACGGGUGAGUAACACGUGGGAACGUGCCUUUAGGUUCGGAAUAACUCAGGGAAACUUGUGCUAAUACCGAAUGUGCCCUUCGGGGGAAAGAUUUAUCGCCUUUAGUGCGGCCCGCGUCUGAUUAGCUAGUUGGUUGAGGUAAUGGCUCACCAAGGCGACGAUCAGUAGCUGGUCUGAGAGGAUGAUCAGCCACAUUGGGACUGAGACACGGCCCAAACUCCUACGGGAGGCAGCAGUGGGGAAUCUGGCGCAAUGGGCGAAAGCCUGACGCAUCCAUGCCGCGUGAAAGAUGAAGGUCUUAGGAUUGUAAAAUUCUUUCACCGGGGACGAUAAUGACGGUACCCGGAGAAGAAGCCCCGGCUAACUUCGUG